GGUUCGGGUCCGGAAGGCGGUGAUCUCCGUGGGGGCGCUCCUCGAGGUCUCCCGGCGGUCGAGCUCGGUGGUUCGGUUCGGCAGGUCGGGUCGGCGGCUCGGGUCGGGAGGCAGCUCCGCCGCAGCUUCGGGAAGAGGCGACACCGUCUCGCACCUGCACACAGGUCGGGCCGGGAGCUCGGCCCGACCCCUCCGACGAUCAAGUUAGAGAAAAAUGUGGAGGGGAUUGUGGAUGAGGCAGAAGAAGAGCCUCUGAGUGUUUUGUGUCUGAGUGAGUUCCUCUUUUCCUUCUUUUGUUCAGGGCUUCGGGGUAUUUAUAGAGGAGGUUUGAUGUUACCCGACGUAGCUGUCUGCAGGGCAGGACUGUACCUUUGGUGGCGUCUGACAUUGCCACUGGGGCUGCGUGGGAGACCGGGAGAUCGCAGGGUAUGGGCGAGCUUCAACCGUUACCUGCUUCUGUCUCGUCCGGCUGUGCUGGGUCUGCCAUUUUUUGUCAUAUCAUAUG
rnacentral:lncRNA from 1 species